UAUUGAGGUUCUAACUUGGUCCAGUAAUCCUGGAUGAGGACAGUGUAUGAUGGGUAGUUUGACUGGGGCGGUCUCCUCCCAAAGAGUAACGGAGGAGCACAAAGGUACCCUCGGUACGGUCGGACAUCGUACCAAGAGUGUAAAGGCAAAAGGGUGCUUGACUGCGAGAGUGACGGCUCGAGCAGGAACGAAAGUUGGUCUUAGUGAUCCGGUGGUUCUGAAUGGAAGGGCCAUCGCUCAACGGAUAAAAGGUACUCCGGGGAUAACAGGCUGAUACCGCCCAAGAGUUCAUAUCGACGGCGGUGUUUGGCACCUCGAUGUCGGCUCAUCACAUCCUGGGGCUGAAGCAGGUCCCAAGGGUAUGGCUGUUCGCCAUUUAAAGUGGUACGCGAGCUGGGUUUAGAACGUCGUGAGACAGUUCGGUCCCUAUCUGCCGUGGGCGUAGGAAAAUUGAGAGGAGCUGCUCCUAGUACGAGAGGACCGGAGUGGACGAACCUCUGGUGCACCGGUUGUCACGCCAGUGGCAUGGCCGGGUAGCUAAGUUCGGACGGGAUAACCGCUGAAAGCAUCUAAGCGGGAAGCCUCCCUCAAGAUGAGUUUUCCCAUGAAGCCCGUUGAAGACUACGACGUUGAUAGGCAAGGUGUGGAAGCGCAGUAAUGCGUGAAGCUAACUUGUACUAAUUGGCUGAUUGUCUUGACCAUAUAAUCUGAG
rnacentral:rRNA from 1 species